GACGAACGCUGGCGGCGUGCCUAAUACAUGCAAGUUGAGCGAUGAAGAUUGGUGCUUGCACCAAUUUGAAGAGCAGCGCACGGGUGAGUAACGCGUGGGGAAUCUGCCUUUGAGCGGGGGACAACAUUUGGAAACGAAUGCUAAUACCGCAUAACAACUUUAAACAUAAGUUUUAAGUUUGAAAGAUGCAAUUGCAUCACUCAAAGAUGAUCCCGCGUUGUAUUAGCUAGUUGGUGAGGUGAAGGCUCACCAAGGCGAUGAUACAUAGCCGACCUGAGAGGGUGAUCGGCCACAUUGGGACUGAGACACGGCCCAAACUCCUACGGGAGGCAGCAGUAGGGAAUCUUCGGCAAUGGACGAAAGUCUGACCGAGCAACGCCGCGUGAGUGAAGAAGGUUGUCGGAUCGUAAAACUCUGUUGGUAGAGAAGAACGUUGGUGAGAGUGGAAAGCUCAUCAAGUGACGGUAACUACCCAGAAAGGGACGGCUAACUACGUG
rnacentral:rRNA from 1 species